UACAGAGGCCUCGAGCGUUAGGCGGAAUCACUGGGCUUAAAGCGUGUGUAGGCGGACUUCUAAGUACCUUGUGAAAUCCCACCGCUCACCGGUGGAACUGCUGGGUAUACUGGUCGUCUUGAGCCACUUAGGGGCUACCGGAACAAAUGGUGGAGCGGUGAAAUGCGUAGAUAUCAUUUGGAACGCCAAUGGUGAAAACAGGUAGCUGGGAGUGUGCUGACGCUGAGACACGAAAGCCAGGGGAGCGAACGGG
rnacentral:rRNA from 1 species